UGAUUAUGUCCUGUGUAUUGGGCAUUUUCUGGCGAAGGAUGAAGAUGUGUACACCUUCUUUGAGCCAGUGCUACCUUCUGAUGGCGUAGGUAUUGCAAGAACCAAGCAAACUGAUGGCUUAAAGUCACCAGGGGAAAGGCGUCCUUCUUUGAAGCUUCCAGCUAGUAGAAGUGGGUCAAAAUCAUCUCAAGGUAAGACACAACGACCUUCAUCAAAUCCUGACAAGAAACUUACCAACCAUAGCAGUGGGGGUGGUCGGCGGCAGUCACCGGAAAAGAUUUCAUGGAAUGUUCUUGAUCUCAAGGGAGAUAA
rnacentral:misc_RNA from 1 species